rnacentral:rRNA from 1 species
UACGUAGGGUGCGAGCGUUAAUCGGAAUUACUGGGCGUAAAGGGUGCGCAGGCGGUUAUAUAAGACAGAUGUGAAAUCCCCGGGCUCAACCUGGGAACUGCGUUUGUGACUGUAUGACUAGAGUACGGUAGAGAGGGGGAUGGAAUUCCGCGUGUAGCAGUGAAAUGCGUAGAUAUGCGGAGGAACACCGAUGGCGAAGGCAAUCCCCUGGGCCUGCACUGACGCUCAUGCACGAAAGCGUGGGGAGCAAACAGG